ensembl:lncRNA
AACAGAGAGAGAACAGAGAGAGAACAGAGAGAGAACAGAGAGAAAACAGAGAGAGAACAGAGAGAGAACAGAGAGAAAACAGAGAGAGAACAGAGAGAAAACAGAGAGAGAACAGAGAGGGAACAGAGAUAAAAGAGAACAGAGAGAGCAGAGAGAGAACAGAGAGGGAACAGAGAGGGAACAGAGAGAGCAGAGAGAGAACAGCGAGAGCUGAGAGAGAACAGAGAGAGAACAGAGAUAACAGAGAACAGAGAGAGAACAGAGAGAACGUCUUCUAUUUCUCCAUUGUUCUCCACAGCUACAGACAAGGGGCAGCGCUAACAAUAAGACAGUAACCAUGUCAUGUUGUUGUCUUAGGUCGGCAGGUAGCCUAGUGGUUAGAGGCAGCUAGCCUAGUGGUUAGAGGCAGGUAGCCUAGUGGUUAGAGGCAGGUAGCCUAGUGGUUAGAGGCAGGUAGCCUAGUGGUUAGAGGCAGGUAGCCUAGUGGUUAGAGGCUGGUAGCCUAGUGGUUAGAGGCAGAUAGCCUAGUGGUUAGAGGCAGAUAGCCUAGUGGUUAGAGGCAGGUAGCCUAGUGGUCAGAGGCAGGUAGCCUAGUGGUUAGAGACAGGUAGCCUAGUGGUUAGAGGCAGGUAGCCUAGUGGUUAUAGCGUUGGACUAGUAACUGAAAGGUUGCUAGAUUGAAUCCCCGAGCUGACAAGGUAAAAAUCUGUCGUUCUGCCCCUGAACAGGCAGUUAACCCACUGUUCCUAGGCCGUCAUUGUAAAUAAGAAGUUAUUCUUAACUGACUUGCCUAGUUAAAUAAAGGUUAAAUAAAAAUUUAAAAUAAAAAAUGACUAUAAACUGUGGAAGUUUACCAGUAAACUACUAGUGGCCUUAUUGGGUACUUCAGAUUAUCACAGGUGUCUGUAAUUAUCUCUGACCCUCUGUGUGGCCUUAUCACAUGUAGAAUAUAAAAUAAUCAAAUUAUUUUAAAAAAACAUGAUCCUAAACAUAAACCAUCAACUUAGUGAAUACCAUCGUUUUUUAUUAUGAGGGUUUCAGCAUGAAAUAUCCUUUAUAUAUUUUUUACACACUUUUGGUGUUUUACUCGGUCAAUCUGUCAAUGUUUUGGUGCCAAACUGGUGGCAGACAACGGUUGGAAAAGUCAAUAUUGGGAAGAGAUGAAGGGUUAAUUGGAAAAUAAUGCUGUUGUUGAUUAGAUGCUUUUUCAUUAAUUAGACUAUUUUCUCAUGAACCGUAUGGUCUAUCUACUAGAAACUCAUGAACCAUCUGGUCUAUCUACUAGAAACUCAUGAACCAUCUGGUGUAUCUACUAGAAACUCA